GGUGCUGUGGCACAGUGGGUUAGUGCCCUGGCCUGAAGCGCCAGCAUCCCAUCUGGGUGCCGGUUCAAGACCCAGCUGCUCCA
rfam:Oryctolagus cuniculus chromosome 9, whole genome shotgun sequence.